AGAGUUUGAUCCUGGCUCAGAUUGAACGCUGGCGGCAGGCUUAACACAUGCAAGUCGAGCGGGGGAAGUAGCUUGCUACCGGACCUAGCGGCGGACGGGUGAGUAAUGCUUAGGAAUCUGCCUAUUAGUGGGGGACAACAUCUCGAAAGGGAUGCUAAUACCGCAUACGUCCUACGGGAGAAAGCAGGGGAUCUUCGGACCUUGCGCUAAUAGAUGAGCCUAAGUCGGAUUAGCUAGUUGGUGGGGUAAAGGCCUACCAAGGCGACGAUCUGUAGCGGGUCUGAGAGGAUGAUCCGCCACACUGGGACUGAGACACGGCCCAGACUCCUACGGGAGGCAGCAGUGGGGAAUAUUGGACAAUGGGGGGAACCCUGAUCCAGCCAUGCCGCGUGUGUGAAGAAGGCCUUAUGGUUGUAAAGCACUUUAAGCGAGGAGGAGGCUACUCUAGUUAAUACCUAGGGAUAGUGGACGUUACUCGCAGAAUAAGCACCGGCUAACUCUGUGCCAGCAGCCGCGGUAAUAC
rnacentral:rRNA from 1 species